rnacentral:rRNA from 1 species
UUACGGGAGGCAGCAGUAAGGAAUAUUGCGCAAUGGGCGAAAGCCUGACGCAGCGACGCCGCGUGGGGGAUGAAGGUCUUCGGAUUGUAAACCCCUUUCGGGAGGGAAGAUGGGAUGGGGUAACCCAUUCGGACGGUACCUCCAGAAGCAGCCACGGCUAACUUCGUGCCAGCAGCCGCGGUAAUACGAAGGUGGCAAGCGUUGUUCGGAUUUACUGGGCGUACAGGGAGCGUAGGCGGUUGGGUAAGCCCUCCGUGAAAUCUCCAGGCUUAACCUGGAAAGUGCAGAGGGGACUGCUCAGCUAGAGGAUGGGAGAGGAGCGCGGAAUUCCCGGUGUAGCGGUGAAAUGCGUAGAGAUCGGGAGGAAGGCCGGUGGCGAAGGCGGCGCUCUGGAACAUUUCUGACGCUGAGGCUCGAAAGCGUGGGGAGCAAACAGGAUUAGAUACCCCGGU